rnacentral:snRNA from 1 species
GGAUAUGGGGGCAAUCUGGCUGCGACAACUGUCACCUCAUUGAUUGCCAGAGUUGAUUCGACUGAUCUGGCUGGCUAAUCUCCUUUCUCCCUCACCACUCCAUGUGUGUCCCUCCCCAAAGCUGCUGGAUCAGUCGAAGAGGACCACCACUCCUAAUAGAGAAGGACCCUCGGGCAAGGGUAUACUAGUAGCUGCACUCCCCUGCUUGAGCCUCCAAACAAGCUCUCAGAAAGAAAGCCCAUGUUGUCAAGAGUCUUACCUAUGUUAUCUUUCAGCAGAUUAAGUGUUUCUGUUUUAA